UACUAACCACUUCACUUCUGGAGGUGGGGACAUCCAGACAAGGAUCUCAGCCAACGAAGUGAACAGAGACAUGGGAACACAUCUGACAACACUGCAAUACAAGAUCAGAACAGCUGAAAUCUAGAUGAACAUCGUACUAGUUCAACACAGAUGAGCAAGAUGUUCCAAAACAAGUAACAGAACCUUGACCUCACAUGCCCCACUCACAACCAAGGGCCCAGUACCACAAAUUCACAGUGGCAUUUGAGAUUGCGAAAAGGCUGGACAGAUGUCUUUGGUUUAGAAAAUGACCAGCUUUAGCAUGAUGAGUGGCCAUUUAUUCUCCAGUGAGUGGGCCAG